rnacentral:rRNA from 1 species
AUCCGGGUUGCGGACAGUGUCUGGUGGGUAGUUUGACUGGGGCGGUCUCCUCCCAAAGAGUAACGGAGGAGCACGAAGGUUGGCUAAUCCUGGUCGGACAUCAGGAGGUUAGUGCAAUGGCAUAAGCCAGCUUGACUGCGAGCGUGACGGCGCGAGCAGGUGCGAAAGCAGGUCAUAGUGAUCCGGUGGUUCUGAAUGGAAGGGCCAUCGCUCAACGGAUAAAAGGUACUCCGGGGAUAACAGGCUGAUACCGCCCAAGAGUUCAUAUCGACGGCGGUGUUUGGCACCUCGAUGUCGGCUCAUCACAUCCUGGGGCUGAAGUAGGUCCCAAGGGUAUGGCUGUUCGCCAUUUAAAGUGGUACGCGAGCUGGGUUUAGAACGUCGUGAGACAGUUCGGUCCCUAUCUGCCGUGGGCGCUGGAGAAUUGAGGGGGGCUGCUCCUAGUACGAGAGGACCGGAGUGGACGCAUCACUGGUGUUCGGGUUGUCAUGCCAAUGGCACUGCCCGGUAGCUAAAUGCGGAAGAGAUAAGUGCUGAAAGCAUCUAAGCACGAAACUUGCCCCGAGAUGAGUUCUCCCUGAGACCUUGAGUCUCCUGAAGGAACGUUGAAGACGACGACGUUGAUAGGUCGGGUGUGUAAGCGCAGCGAUGCGUUGAGCUAACCGAUACUAAUGAACCGUGAGGCUUAACCUU